rnacentral:tRNA from 1 species
GUAGACAUAGUUUACACAAAACAUUAGAUUGUGAUUCUAAAGCCAAGGAUUAAACCCCUUUGUCCACC